rnacentral:rRNA from 1 species
GACGAACGCUGGCGGCGUGCUUAACACAUGCAAGUCGAAUGAAGAGCGAUGGAAGCUUGCUUCUAUCAAUCUUAGUGGCGAACGGGUGAGUAACGCGUAAUCAACCUGCCCUUCAGAGGGGGACAACAGUUGGAAACGACUGCUAAUACCGCAUACGAUCUGACCUCGGCAUCGAGGAUAGAUGAAAGGUGGCCUCUACAUGUAAGCUAUCACUGAAGGAGGGGAUUGCGUCUGAUUAGCUAGUUGGAGGGGUAACGGCCCACCAAGGCGAUGAUCAGUAGCCGGUCUGAGAGGAUGAACGGCCACAUUGGGACUGAGACACGGCCCAGACUCCUACGGGAGGCAGCAGUGGGGAAUCUUCCGCAACGGACGAAAGUCUGACGGAGCAACGCCGCGUGAGUGAUGACGGCCUUCGGGUUGUAAAGCUCUGUUAAUCGGGACGAAAGGCCUUUUUGCGAAUAGUGAGAAGGAUUGACGGUACCGGAAUAGAAAGCCACGGCUAACUACGUG